CAGAGGGGCUCUUUUGGAAGCGCCUGGCACUGCAGGAGCCGGGCCCGGUGUGCCAGGGAGCUGUGAAGACAGCGCGAAGCAGGAUGCUGGACACCAGCUACUGGAUUCACCUGCUGUUUGCCAGGAGCCCCUGCGGGCACGGCGCCGAGUGAGUCCGGGGCUGUGUUGGACAGGUCACCUUACUUGAGCCUCCCAACCUCCCAACAAGGAAGAUCUGACGAGGAAACCGAAGCCCAGGACCCCCCACGCCCAGCCCGAGGGACAGGACUCACGGCAAGUGGCCUGGAACUCAUCGGAGCCGUCGGAACACUCCUCCUCGCCGUCACACUUCCACCGCUCGGGGAUGCAGUGGCCGUUGUCGCAGAGUCUAGUUCCCCGGUCACAGCCUCCCGGAAGUCUCCCUGGCCACCUAGGGCAGAUGCUUUAGCCCCUUCCGCCAGUUCUCAGUCCCUUCACCUGCUCCCCAACCAGACCAAUGUCAAGGCCUCUUCUGAUGGGAAGAAGGAAGCAAAGGGCUCUGAAGAAGGAAGCAAGUUGUAAUGUAUGAGGAACACGCAGCAGAGAUCCUGGCACACAGCAGAUGCUCGAAGAACACCUUUGUGCAGGGCUGGAAGAAACCGGAGGAAUCAGAAUCCACCUGCAGAUGGGGAGCCUGAGGCUCAGAGAGGGGAGGGUCAGCCCAGGGAAACAGCAGGCCGGGAUCAGAGCCAGCCGUCCUGACUCCAGGCCAGGAGCCUGAGCAGCCCUCCCGAGCCCGGCACCUCGGGGCGUGGUAGGUCACAGACAUCAAUACCACCUUUAGGUAAAUCGCGGUCCAUAGUCACCUGAAAGUAAGGACAGGGAUGAGCCACAGCACUGGGCAUUUCCCAGCAGGGACAGUAGGGUGUUUUCUCCACCAGAA